rnacentral:tRNA from 1 species
CAUUAAGAAGCUAAUUAGCACUAACCUUUUAAGUUAGAGAUUAAGAGUUUUAAAUCUCUUCUUAAUGA